AUGAGAAGACUUGUUGGAUCCUCUGAAGCAGCAGUCUUCUCUGUGCUUGUUCUUCUGAGAGCCCGUACUGCACGAGUAAGGGGCAGACACCCUCGUGGGCCCAGAUCCGUGGGGCUGCUUUCUGAUGGGAGAAGGAUGAGACCUGACUCCGUAGCCAUUACUCACACCAAGCAGUACUCGUUCAGUCUCUGCAGGUCUAGCAUCCAUGUCCAUUCCCUCAUGGUGCUCCCUUGUGGAGCUUCGGCAGAGGCUUUGCAGGCGCUCGGAGUGACGAGGAUGGGAGAAAGGAGGGGAUCGGUGCUCCGACACAGCAGCCAUUUUAAGCUGCUUCUUCCACAGCUGGAAAUCAUUGCGAUAGCAUCAGCUGCCAAGGAGAGUUAUGAGAUUUGGCAGGAUUCAGAGGGAAAGAGGUAGCAGCUAAAUCACUUGUGAAUAGCAAGCGCUUCAAAGGCAGAGCGUGGGGCCCUGGCUGGCGGGCGGGUGCUGUGCCGGGAUGGAUCCGGACCCGGUGAGGGUGCUGGGGGCAGCACGAGGCUCUGAGCAGGGUGAACGGCACCCACAGGGCCUGACCUGCUCUUUGUGGCCCCACCGGUGCAUCCCCAGGCACAGGCAGCUGGGACACCUCGCAGCUGGAGCUGAUGCAUUAUUCAGCAAGGAAAUAAGUGCUCUGCAACCCCACCGCAAAAAAAAAAAAAACCACAACUCCAUAAUGCAAGGAUAGGAAGCAUACAAUAUAUUCCUCUCCAAAUUAAUUGCUAUUAUUUUGAUUAAAACACAUUAUCAUAUAAAUAUUUGAUUAAGAAUGUGAUUAAAUCUUUCUUGCUUAUGAACUGUGACAACUUUAAAGUCUAACCUUUUAUAGCUUGGCACCACAUCAUUAUUUUGCUCAUUAGCUACGUUUAAUAAUUCGAUCUCAUAAUAUGCUUUGCCAUUUGGAACCUGCCUUUGUGUGCCAAGUUCAAAUCGAUGCUGUUAGUUAUUUGUGCCACUGCAGAUAAUUAAACAAAAAUUAAAAGCAAUUUAACCUUGCAGUCUGGCUGCGGGUGGAUCGGCGUUUGAGCACAAGUCAGCAGAGUUUGUUCUGCUGAUGGGACCUGUGUGGGAAGGGGGGGUCUGAGGUGUCUCCUGGGGCACAGCAACUGCAAGCACGUAUGGAGGAGCCCAGCCAAGAGCUAACCUCCAAGGGGAGACAUUUUCUAUUCCCCCAGGAACAGAGGUAGCUGCAGGUAAGGCUGCUGCCCACCCACCCUGAGUCCUUCUGGGGGCUCCAGGCAGUGGGAACAAGGCUGUUACUUUUGGGCAGGGCUGUGUGCUGUGGGUUCCUGUUGUCCCUCAGCAGGAUCAGGCCCUCGUAGGCAGUCUGGAUGCAGAACGAUGCCUCUGUCUCUCCCAGAUUACUCCAACCAGCCAGAGC
rnacentral:lncRNA from 1 species